UGAAAAUCGAUGGUUGUUUUAUCAAAAACUUAGCCGUAAACGCUAAAGAUUACGCCAUUGUUAAAUCGAUUCAGGA
rnacentral:tRNA from 1 species